AUACCUUUCUCGGCCUUUUGGCUGAGAUCAAGUGUACUAUCCGUUCUUAUCAGUUUAAUAUCUGAUACUGGGCCCUUGGCUCACAUGAUAUUAAAUUUAUUUUUGAUGGGAUAGUCCAUCACAGAAGCUUGCUACAGGGGCUCUUGAGCGUCGCCCAGGCGUUGCACUAUAGCUUGGGUUCGGCGCACUCCAC
rnacentral:snRNA from 1 species